CAGGAUUCCCUCAGUAAUGGCGAAUGACCAGGGAUAAGCUCAGCAUUGAAAUCUGGGCCCUCGGCCUUGAAUUGUAAUCUCGAGAUGUGCAACCAACGGAGGCGCAGAUGUAAGCCUCUUGGAAAAGAGCACCAGCGAGGGUGAGAGUCCCGUUCGUCAUUUGCAGUCCUCCGUGUACGGUGUACUUUCUAAGAGUCACGUUCCUCGGGCUUGGAGCGCCAAAGGUGGUAAUUUUCAUCUAAAGCUAAAUAUAGGUUCGAGACCGAUAGCAACCAAGUCCCAUGAGGGAAAGAUGAAAAGGCCUUUGGAAAGAGAGUUAAAAGUGCCUGAAAUCGCUGAAAGGGAAGCGAAUGGACCCAGUGUUUCUUGGCGAGAUUGUUGCGUGCUAAGUUGAUGGCCGGUUGCUUCAACGCAAGUGUUGCAGUUGGUUUUGAUAUGGAUGCGCGUGGUGCUUCUCGCCUUGCUUGUCAACGUCGAUUUGAAGUUGAGGAAAACUCAAGGGACAUGGUAGUUUGCCCUCGGGUGACCGAACGUGCCUUGCAGAACUCAUCUUUGAAUUGAAGCUCGUGUGUCUGGUUGCAAUGCCUCCCUCUCUGGCUUGUCGCCCUGGGAAAUUCAGCAGGAGCGCAGCCUUUUAUGGCGAGAGCAUUCCUUGACGCGCAGAUGGUGACAAAAUGGUUUCACUCGACCCGUCUUGAAACACGGACCAAGGAGUCUAACAUAUGUGCAAGUUCCCGGGUGGCCAAACCUGCUGGCGUAAUGAAAGUGACUGCUGGGAUUUUUGCACCAGCAACCGACUGACCAAUUGAGAGAGGUUUGAGUAUGAGCACAUCUGUUAGGACCCGAAAGAUGGUGAACUAUGCCUGAGAAGGGUGAAGUCAGGGGAAACUCUGAUGGAGGCUCAUAGCGAUACUGACGUGCAAAUCGUUCGUCAUACUUGGGUAUAGGGGCGAAAGACUAAUCGAACCAUCUAGUAGCUGGUUCCCUCCGAAGUUUCCCUCAGGAUAGCUGGAGUUGAACAGUUUUAUCAGGUAAAGCGAAUGAUUAGAGGAAUCGGGGACGCGCUGUCUUCGACCUAUUCUCAAACUUUAAAUGGGUAAGAUCCAGUGGUUACUUAAUUGAACCUCUGGGAUAAAUGACAACUCUAAGUGGGCCAUUUUUGGUAAGCAGAACUGGCGAUGAGGGAUGAACCUAACGUUGGGUUAAGGUGCUUAACUGCUCGCUCAUCAGAUACCAUAAAGGGUGUUGGUUCAUUUUAACAGCAGGACGGUGGUCAUGGAAGUCGAAAUCCGCUAAGGAGUGUGUAACAACUCACCUGCCGAAUGGACUAGCCCCGAAAAUGGAUGGCGCUCAAGCGGGUGACUGACACCCAACCAUUGUUGCAAUUGUGCUGCAUCAAUGAGUAGGAGGGCAUGGGGGUU
rnacentral:rRNA from 1 species